GACGAACGCUGGAGGCGUGCCUAAUACAUGCAAGUAGGACGCAGUUGCGAACGUGUGAGUAACGCGUAGGUAACUGACUAUUAGCGGGGUAUCACUAUUGGAAACGAUAGCUAAUACCGCAUACUCGUAGAUGGACCUGCUUUUUAUUAGCUAGUAGGUAGGGUACUGGACUACCUAGGCGACGAUACAUAGCCGACCUGCGAGGUGGAUCGUCCACACUUGGACUGAGACACGUCCGAGACUCCGACGUGAGGCAGCAGUAGGGAUUCUGCGUCAAUGGGGGGAACCCUGACCGAGCAACGUCGCGUGAGUGAAGAAGGUUUUCGGAUCGUAAAGCGCUGUUGUUAAGGAAUCGGUACUUAACCAGAAAGCCACGGCUAACUACGUGCCAGCAGCCGCGGUAAUAC
rnacentral:rRNA from 1 species